GUGUUCACUCUGCAGCACAGAUACUAAAAUUGGAACGGUACAGAAGAUCAGCAUGGUCCCUAUGCAAGGGUGACUCCAAAUUUGUGAAGCAUUCCAUAAAAAA